rnacentral:rRNA from 1 species
UGUGGAAUUUUGGACAAUGGGCGAAAGCCUGAUCCAGCAAUGCCGCGUGUGUGAAGAAGGCCUUCGGGUUGUAAAGCACUUUUGUCCGGAAAGAAAUCCUUGGCUCUAAUACAGUCGGGGGAUGACGGUACCGGAAGAAUAAGCACCGGCUAACUACGUGCCAGCAGCCGCGGUAAUACGUAGGGUGCAAGCGUUAAUCGGAAUUACUGGGCGUAAAGCGUGCGCAGGCGGUUUGCUAAGACCGAUGUGAAAUCCCCGGGCUCAACCUGGGAACUGCAUUGGUGACUGGCAGGCUAGAGUAUGGCAGAGGGGGGUAGAAUUCCACGUGUAGCAGUGAAAUGCGUAGAGAUGUGGAGGAAUACCGAUGGCGAAGGCAGCCCCCUGGGCCAAUACUGACGCUCAUGCACGAAAAGCGUGGGGGAGCAAAACAGGAUUAGAUACCCUGGUAGUCCACGCCCUAAAACGAUGUCAACUAGUUGUUGGGGAUUCAUUUCCUUAGUAACGUAGCUAACGCGUGAAGUUGACCGCCUGGGGAGUACGGUCG